CCCCGUUGAAGUGAUGGGCUAAUUCCACAGCCGCAAGGCUAAUUUUUGCGUACUGGUUUGGCAAAGAACUGCGCUAAUUGGGCGUUUGAGACUCGAGUUUGAACUUCUAAGCUACUGGAGAAAGGCGGCGGGCUCUUCUUCUUCUUGUGAGGUUUUAGGCUGCACCGCGAAGAAGAACAGCAAACGAGGGUUUUGAGGAACUUGGCGUAGUCUAUCUCUUUGUAUUUAUAUGUUGGCCAAUUAUCU
rnacentral:misc_RNA from 1 species